rnacentral:pre_miRNA from 11 species
UUCCAUUGUCAUAAUGAAAGACCCCCAGAGUAGGGAGACCCUCACUCAAGUCUUGGGAUAAGCCGAUGCCCCAAUAAUUCAAGAGAGACC